rnacentral:rRNA from 1 species
CCUACGGGGGGCAGCAGUGGGGAAUAUUGGACAAUGGGGGCAACCCUGAUCCAGCCAUGCCGCGUGUGUGAAGAAGGCCCUCGGGUUGUAAAGCACUUUCAGUGAGGAAGAACGCCUGGUGGUUAAUACCCAUCAGGAAAGACAUCACUCACAGAAGAAGCACCGGCUAACUCCGUGCCAGCAGCCGCGGUAAUACGGAGGGUGCGAGCGUUAAUCGGAAUUACUGGGCGUAAAGCGCGCGUAGGUGGCUUGAUAAGCCGGUUGUGAAAGCCCCGGGCUCAACCUGGGAACGGCAUCCGGAACUGUCAAGCUAGAGUGCAGGAGAGGAAGGUAGAAUUCCAGGUGUAGCGGUGAAAUGCGUAGAGAUCGGGAGGAAUACCAGUGGCGAAGGCGGCCUUCUGGACUGACACUGACACUGAGGUGCGAAAGCGUGGGUAGCGAACAGGAUUAGAUACCCCGGUAGUC